GACGAACGCUGGCGGCGUGCUUAACACAUGCAAGUCGAACGGAAAGGCCCUGCUUUUGUGGGGUGCUCGAGUGGCGAACGGGUGAGUAACACGUGAGUAACCUGCCCUUGCCUUUGAGAUAACUUCAGGAAACUGGGGCUAAUACCGGAUAGGAGCUCCUGCUGCAUGGUGGGGGUUGGAAAGUUUAGGCGGUUGGGGAUGGACUCGCGGCUUAUCAGCUUGUUGGUGGGGUAGUGGCUUACCAAGGCUUUGACGGGUAGCCGGCCUGAGAGGGUGACCGGCCAAAGUGGGAAUGAGAUACGGCCCAGACUCCUACGGGAGGCAGCAGUGGGGAAGAUUGCACCAUGGGCGGAAGCCUGAUGCAGCAACGCCGCGUGCGGGAUGACGGCCUUCGGGUUGUAAACCGCUUUCGCCUGUGACGAAGAGUGAGUGACGGUAAUGGGUAAAGAAGCACCGGCUAACUACGUG
rnacentral:rRNA from 1 species